AUCAGCUGACGAGUCCACAAUAUGACGAAAUGCGCGUCAAACUGGAU
rfam:Schistosoma mansoni, Puerto Rico, WGS project CABG01000000 data, contig: 0222